rnacentral:rRNA from 1 species
AUGUUCGGCUCCACCAAUCCGUUCGGGCAGUCGUCCGCUAGCGCUUUUGGGCAGACCUCCAGCAACCACUUCGGGGCCCAAUCGGGGUUCGGCCAGACCACCACCACCACCAACAAUCCCUUCGGCAGCCCGACCACCGCCUUCGGGGCGCAGACGGGGACGACCUCGCCUUUUGGCGCCACGUCCUCCACCGCCGGCGCGUUUGGCCAGCCAUCCGCUCCGGCGUUCGGGGCUACAUCCACCCCGGCGUUUGGGGCCGCGCCAACUGGCGGAUUUGGCCAGCCAUCCACGCCGGCGUUCGGCACCCCGUCGUCCUCUCCGUUCGGGAGCUCCACGCCAGCCUUUGGUGCGUCGCCAGCCCCCGCGUUUGGCGCGGGCGCCACAUCCUCCGGCUUUGGCAGCGGAUCUUUGUUUGGACAAAAGCCAAGUUUUGGUGGUUUUGGAUCAUCUCCUAGCCAGUCUAGUCCUUUCGGUAGCACAUUUCAGCAAACACAGCCAACAUUUGGCAACAGCACUUUCGGCGCCACAACUACACCGGCCUUUGGCACCACGACGACGCCAUCCUUUGGUGCCACGACCACCCCAGCGUUUGGCUCAACAUCAACAUCCCUAUUUGGGGCUUCCAGCACACCAGCAUUUGGCUCCACACCCUUCGGUUCAACCACGACUCCUGGUUUUGGAUCCUCAGGAACCACAACAUUUGGUGCGAGCAGUGCUCCAGCUUUUGGAGCUUCAAGCACGCCAGCAAAUGCUUUUAGUUUUGGUUCUUCCCCAUCCUUUGGACAAACAGCAUCUGCAGCCGGAAGCACUCCGUUCGGAACAACUCCUUCGCCUUUUGGGGCACAAACUUCUCCAUUUGGCUCGCAGACAGCAGCACCAGCAUUUGGGCAAGCUUCAUUUGGAAAUCAAUCUGGAGGAACCAGAGUACAGCCUUAUGUGCAGACACCAGAUCCUGACAGUGCUACAAGUGGUACUCAGCCUGCUGCAAAACUUAAUUCCAUAUCAGCCAUGCCUGCAUACAAAGAGAAGAGUCAUGAAGAGUUGAGGUGGGAGGAUUACCAGCGUGGAGACAAAGGUGGACCAAACUCUUCUGUAACUCCAGUGGCGAACAGCUUUCCAACUCCGUCGCCAAGUUUUCAAACAAAUCCGCCGGCAAAUCCAUUUGCUAAGCCCUCUACAGGUGGUUUUGGUGCCACUCCGAACCCAUUUUCGUCGCCCACAGUUACCCCAUUUGGACAAACAAGCAGCUCUGCAUUUUCAGCAAAUACCUCACCAUCUCUAUUUGCGAAUACUACUCCUUCAUUAUUCAGCACGCCAUCGACAACCCCAAAUCUUUUCAAUAAUAGCUUAUCCAUUAGUAAUAAUACUCAAUCAGCUGGGCUGUUUCAGUCUUCCCCUGCAAUAGCGCCAUUUAGCCAGUCGUUUAGCCAGCAAUCAAGCACCCCAGUUUUCUCCACUGGUAUAUUCAACACACCGAACCCUGGAAUGACCGGAGGGCUGUUUGGCAACACAUCUUCACCUUUUCUAACAUCAACAUUUCAACAAUCUGCUCCUGUUCAGCAGACUCCAAGCUUAUUCUCAUUCCAACCUCAAACCCAACCAGCUUCUACAGGUGGAUUCACUGGUUUUUCCAACACGAUGAAUCUGGCUCCAUUUGGACAGCAAACCACCAGCCAGUCCAAUAUGGUUAUGCAGCCGACUCUUGUUUCAAAUCCCUUCGGGACACUUCCAGCAAUGCCUCAGAUGUCCAUUGGGAAUGGUGGAUCCGCACCCUCUAUCCAGUAUGGCAUAUCAAGUUUGCCGGUUGCUGAGAAGCCUCUUCCAAGCAGAACAGUAUCCAUGGUGGUUCCUAGGCAUUUGUCGCAGAGAAGGAUAAAACUGCUGCCACGAAAAUAUAAUCAGACAUCUGAUGGAAAGGUUCCGUUUUUUGCCGAUGAUGAAGAAUCUCCUGCAACACCAAAAGCGGAUGCCUUUUUUAUCCCUAGAGAGAACCCGAGGAGUCUGAUAAUCCGUCCAACUGACCAGUGGCGCUCACGUAGUGCUGCUGACAGGCAAUCAGUACUGAGAGAUUCAACUGAUCUUGACAAACAUAACGAUGCUUUGGUUGGGAAGGAGCGCGGCAAGGCUGUUGUGUCACCGGCUCGGUCUGGUUCAGUGGAAAAUGGCACCUACCGUGAUGACCACCACCAGGCAUUACCUGAGGCGCAUGCGAAUGGUUCUUCUGUUGAGAAGCUCAUACCUAAGCUAUCCCAGGCAGAUUACUUCACGGAGCCUAGUUUAGAGGAGCUUGCCGCCAAAGAACGUGCUGAAUCAGGCUACUGCAGUCGGGUGAGAGACUUUGUUGUUGGACGUCAAGGCUAUGGCAGCAUCAAAUUCUUGGGAGAAACUGAUGUAAGGGGCCUUGAUCUGGAAUCGAUCGUGGAAUUCAAUAACCGUGAGGUGAUUGUGUACAAGGACGAUAACGAAAAGCCCCUGGUUGGUGAGGGCCUGAACAAAGCUGCCGUGGUGACUCUUUUGAACAUCAAGUGUGUUAACAGGAAGACAGGCGAGGCGUACACGGAGGGUCCAAGGGUAGACAAGUACAAGGAGAUGCUGGUGAAAAAGGCUGAGGAGCAGGGCGUGGAGUUCAUCUCGUUUGACGCUGCAAAGGGUGAGUGGAAGUUCAAGGUGAAGCACUUCAGCUCCUAUGGUUUUGCUGAAGCUGAAGUAGGCCUGGUCGAUUCCCUGUAG